CAAAGAUGAAAUAUACGGCAAGAUGAAACUUCCAGAAGGAGCCGCAGAAAACCAACCCGGAAGCUAAGCGGGGGGGAUUUUGCUUAUGUUUCUGUGUCGAUUCCCUUGGCAUAAAAGUGUGAAAAACUAAAGGUAAGAGGUCAUGGGAUAUCGGGCCUGCUGGGAUCGCCAAGCCUACCUAAUGAGUUUCAUCUCUGACCAGUUUAUCAAACAGUGAAACACAUUAGAAUUUCACACUAGCAUUUACCUUCAAUGACCCCAUUAUUUGUAACCUCCCUCUCACCCGGUCAAAGCUGGGACAGGAUCCAGCCCCGCUACAACUCUGAACUGGAUAAGCAAAAGAAAAUGAAGGAAUAUCUUCUCUCUUCAUGCUUAUUCAUGCAUUUUUUCCCUAUUUUUAAAAAAUAAGAGUCGAUUAAGUCUGAAAUCUAGCUUCCUAUUCAGCCCCAACUAAAUAUUUUCCCAGUGAAUGUGGAAAAAGAGCGUUUACGUUGAAGCUGCUUUUCUUUUGUCACCUUCUGCUGAGAUGAGGAAUGUAAUUUAUGACUGAACCGCUUCACCACUCUGGAUAAACCCAUUAUGUACAUCUGUGGAAACACUUCAGUCCCUCUCAUCCUGCUACAUUG